CCUACGGGCGGCAGCAGUGAGGAAUAUUGGUCAAUGGGCGGAAGCCUGAACCAGCCAAGUCGCGUGAGGGAAUAAGGCCCUACGGGUCGUAAACCUCUUUUGCCGGGGAGCAAGGGCCGGGACGCGUCCCGGCCCGGAGAGUACCCGGAGAAAAAGCAUCGGCUAACUCCGUGCCAGCAGCCGCGGUAAUACGGAGGAUGCGAGCGUUAUCCGGAUUUAUUGGGUUUAAAGGGUGCGUAGGCGGGCUUUUAAGUCAGCGGUAAAAAUUCGGGGCUCAACCCCGUCCGGCCGUUGAAACUGGGUGCCUUGAGUGGGCGAGAAGAAGGCGGAAUGCGUGGUGUAGCGGUGAAAUGCAUAGAUAUCGCGCAGAACCCCGAUUGCGAAGGCGGCUUACUGGACCGUAACUGACGUUGAGGCUCGAAAGCGUGGGGAGCGAACAGGAUUAGAUACCCUUGUAGUC
rnacentral:rRNA from 1 species